AGAGUUUGAUCAUGGCUCAGGACGAACGCUGGCGGCACGCUUCACACAUGCAAGUCGAACGAGAAGCCCGGGCUUGCCCGGGUGGAAAGUGGCGAACGGGUGAGUAACACGUGAGCAACCUGCCCCGAAGACCGGGAUAACACCGGGAAACCGGUGCUAAUACCGGAUGUCCUCACCGGACCGCAUGAUCCGGCGAGGAAAUGGUCCUCCGCUUCGGGAUGGGCUCGCGGCCUAUCAGCUUGUUGGUGGGGUAACGGCCCACCAAGGCGACGACGGGUAGCUGGUCUGAGAGGAUGUCCAGCCACACUGGGACUGAGACACGGCCCAGACUCCUACGGGAGGCAGCAGUGGGGAAUCUUGCGCAAUGGGCGAAAGCCUGACGCAGCGAUGCCGCGUGCGGGAUGAAGGCCUUCGGGUUGUAAACCGCUUUCAGCAGGGACGAAAUUGACGGUACCUGCAGAAGGAGCCCCGGCCAACUACGUGCCAGCAGCCGCGGUAAUACGUAGGGGGCAAGCGUUGUCCGGAUUUAUUGGGCGUAAAGAGCUCGUAGGCGGUUGGGCAAGUCACGUGUGAAAUCUCCACGCUCAACGUGGAGGCGCCACGUGAGACUGCCCUGACUCGAGUCCGGUAGGGGAGCGUGGAAUUCCCGGUGUAGCGGUGAAAUGCGCAGAGAUCGGGAGGAACACCCGUAGCGAAGGCGGCGCUCUGGGCCGGUACUGACGCUGAGGAGCGAAAGCGUGGGGAGCAAACAGGAUUAGAUACCCUAGUAGUCC
rnacentral:rRNA from 1 species